GGCUGCAGUAUGCCCUCUAAAAAAGUGAUAUUUUCCAGUCUGCUCGUCCUUGUCAUUGCAGUGAUAUGCAUCUAUUCUUCUAUGGAUGAACUCAUCGACCCCGGCAGAAUUCCGAAUGCUUUGCAAAGGUUCAAAUCCUCUACGAAAGUAAAUGAAUCCUUCACCAUGAUCAUGCCUACUUUUGAUCGAACAGAACUUCUCUUUGAUCUGCUUAAACACUACCAGGCAGUACCUUAUCUUAAACAGAUUAUAAUUGUAUGGCAAAAUAUUGGACAGAAGCCACCGCUGGAGUUAUGGGAGUCUCUUGGCCCCCACCUUGUCCCGGUACUCUUCAAGGAGCAAACCCAGAAUCUGUUGAGAAACCGGUUUCUGCCAUUUCCAGAGAUUGAUACAGAAGCUGUGCUAACGCUGGAUGACGACUUGCAGAUCAGUAUUCCCGACAUAAAUUUUGCCUUCUCUGUUUGGACGCAACAUCAAGACCAAAUGGUGGGUUUCGUGGCACGCACACAUACUGCCAAACCCAAAGGUGUAUACACAGUCUCUA